GACGAACGCUGGCGGCGUGCCUAAUACAUGCAAGUAGAACGCUGAAGGCGGAGCUUGCUUCUCUGGAUGAGUUGCGAACGGGUGAGUAACGCGUAGGUAACCUGCCUGGUAGCGGGGGAUAACUAUUGGAAACGAUAGCUAAUACCGCAUAAUAUUUACUAUUGCAUGAUAGUCAGUUGAAAGGUGCAACUGCACGACUACCACAUGGAGCUGCGUUGUAUUAGCUAGUUGGUGGGGUAACGGCUCACCAAGGCGACGAUACAUAGCAGACCUGCGAGGGUGGGCGGCCAGACUGGGACUGAGACACGGCACAGACUGAUAGAGGAGGCAGCCGUAGUGAUUCUUGGGCAAUGGGCGGAAGACUGACCGAGAAAGGCGGAGGGAGUGUAGAAGGUUGUCGGAUCGUAGAGCUCGGUUGUAAGGGAAGAACGAGUGUGAGAGUGGAAAGAUCAGUCUGUGACGGUAACUUAUCAGGAAGGAACGGCUAACUACGUG
rnacentral:rRNA from 1 species